AGUGAACGCUGGCGGCGUGCUUAACACAUGCAAGUCGAACGAGAACGGAAUAUAGCUUGCUAUAUUUGUCAGCUAAGUGGCGCACGGGUGAGUAAUGUAUAGAUAACCUGCCCUUAAGAAAGGAAUAACAGUUGGAAACGACUGCUAAUGCCCUAUAUGCCUUUAAUACAUAAGUACGCAAGGGAAACGCUUUAGUGCUUAAGGAUUGGUCUGUAUGGUAUCAGCUUGUUGGUGUGGUAAUGGCUCACCAAGGCUAUGACGCCUAACUGGUUUGAGAGGAUGAUCAGUCACACUGGAACUGAGACACGGUCCAGACUCCUACGGGAGGCAGCAGUGGGGAAUAUUGCACAAUGGACGAAAGUCUGAUGCAGCAACGCCGCGUGGAGGAUGACACAUUUCGGUGCGUAAACUCCUUUUAUAUAGGAAGAUAAUGACGGUACUAUAUGAAUAAGCACCGGCUAACUCCGUGCCAGCCGCCGCAGUAAAAC
rnacentral:rRNA from 1 species